CCCCCCCGGCAGGGGAAAGGAGUGAGGGAACUUCGCCAGCAUGGCUUUGUGCCCUCGUGAGAAAGGAGAGUAGAAGCCUCGGAGCACACAGAGGUCCAUCUAGCCCUGAUCUCUGGUACAAAACACUAUCUGUUGGUUGGAACAUAGGGGCAUAGAAGAACCUACUGCUUUUGGUCCUAAGAGCAGCAGAGCAGCAUCCAGGACAGCCAACCUCCUCAGUGGUGGUGCCAACUACAGCCCCUCUUAGAGUUGUGCUGGACCUACCUUUGCAUCCCUUCAUGGAGCUGAGAUGGAUAUUUCAGACCCUCUUGGUGAUGAGAGUCCUGUCUGGACACUUGCCAAUGUUCAGGAUGCUUUAAUGUAAACACUGGGUUCACCUGGAGGAUGUCCCCAUGUAAACCAACUAUACAAGCUCAGAUUUUUCAUAAGCUGGCCAGACCUCUUGAAGCAGUCCAAAGAAUGUUGCAUCAAUGUAUGGGAAGAGACUUAAUCUACUUUUACAUCCAUUUUCAAUAAAACACAAUUUUCUCCAAAACAUCUGCCUAAAACCUUUGCCCCCCAACUUGAAAUACGUUUCUGAAUGUAAUAAAAUUUUCAAUUACACCAGCAAAGUAGAUAUUAACAUUUAUAUCUCUGAGUAUCAGGACUUCCCAUCCCUCAAGAGAUGUCUCCUCUGUAUCUUUGCAAACUUGAUAAAUGAAGCACGAUAAAUUCAACUGAUGUCCCACCUUCACAACAGGGUUAUUAUAAAACAGGGAAAAGAAUGAUCCUACAGUAAGUGGAAUCAAAAAAAAAAAAAAUCUCCCUGUUUUCUUAGUAUACCCAGAAAUUUCUGGCAAAAAUUAGGAAAAGGUGUUUCACUCCUGUAUGUGAACAUAACUGUAAGGGCAGCUUGCCAUAUGCUUCACUCAUUUACAGAAAAUAUCCCUGGGAUAGAUGACCCAACUGUACAAAAAUAACAGCCUGGUGAUAAAUUUAAUGUGCAACUUUGACCUACUGUCUUUCUAAUACUCCACCUCCUCAGGACUUUCUCAUUUCCUAGCCCCCUUACCUGUGGCUCUGUCUUCCUCCAUUUCUUUUGUCUUUGUUUUUGCUUUUGCUUAUGAUUUUCCUUUUCCUUUUUCUUUUUCUUUAUUAAAUUCAAACUACAGGACAAAUGUUUCUUUCCCUUUGUCCAGGUAUGGAGAUUUCACCACUCUAGGCUAAAGGCAAGUGAAAGUCUACUCAAUACUAGUGGAAGCUUUGUACAGGGACAAAAAAAAAUCACUCUGGGAAAGUGAGGCAUUUUGUGUCAUGAAGAAAACAAUGCUGAAAUGUCACUGCUGUUGAAGUGAGAGGAAAUCUCCCCCUGGAUUUCAGUUAACUGGUGCCUUGGUCCUGGAAUUUGGGACCAAGGAGCUGGAUGUCAUGAGGGGACAGUUGACGGUCUUGGCCAGAAACAUGGCAGUCGUGUCCCAUGGGAGCUGAUGCCACUGCUCACUCUCACUCACCACCAGUGCCAUAACAAACAGAAAUGGUGUUGUGGAAACAUGGUCUUCAUUGCGUCAUGGGAAGAUGUAACCCUCUGCGACCAAUCACUGUGGUCACCCCAGAGGACUGUGCUGGGCUGGUAUCAGCCACUCCUUCACUCUCUCCUUAU